UAUCAUGUCUAUGUUUAAGAAAUGUUCUUCUCUAAAAUUUAUGUUGCCCUAGCACAACUAUUUUCUUUCUGCUUUUCCUUAUAGUGGGUAGUGACGCCCUUACUGAUCGAUUGGUGAUGAUGAAAAAAGAAGGAAAAAUUAUCUUAAAUAAUGUAGUACCACCAUCUGGGCCAUCUCAAGGGGGCAAUACGAACCCACCACCAAAGAAUGGACCACAAAUCCUUCGCGAAAGGCAUUUUUUGAAGAGUGAAAAUCCUCCCUUUGGCCAUUAAAGCAUGGAUAGGAAAAUUACCAAUUUCUUGAUCUAGUAAUUGUCUUGGCCCUAGAAGCCAAAUGGAAAUCAAUAAGUGAGGGGUGGUUAUCGAAUAGUAGAUUGUAUUCUCUAUGUAAUUUUUUACCAUAAGGUAUUGG
rnacentral:lncRNA from 1 species